rnacentral:misc_RNA from 1 species
AACGCACCUUGCACCCUCUGGUAUUCCGGAGGGUAUGCCUGUUUGAGCGUCAUUAAUCUCUCAACAUGAGAAAUUUUUGUUUCUUGUGCUUGGAUAUUGAAGGUCUUGCUGGUGCAAAUAGCUGUCAGCUCCUUUUAAAUGUAUUAGCAGGGCAUGUAGGACUGGCCUCGGUUUGAUAAGAAUUUAUUAUCUAUGCUGUCGCUAGGUUUCCUCUUUGUGCUCAGCUUCAAAUUGUCUUUGGACUGUCUCUCGAGGCAACAAAACUCUUAUUGAUCGACCUCAAAUCAGGUAGGAUUACCCGCUGAACUUAA